GCCGGGCCGCUUUGUGGCGUCCCCAGGUUCUAAGGCUGGGGGAGGGAAGACGAGCACCUGGCGAGGCGAGACGAGGUGAGCGCGCGGCGCGGGCGGGGCGCUGAGCCCUCUUCGUUAGUUGGCUCGGUCUGCUGAGCAGUACCAGCCCGGUGCAGUGCCAUCGAGGGGCGUUCCGCGCCGUCAGUCUCCGGCCCCGACGCUGUGCAUGGCUGGCUCGGGCCAGGUGGACUUCCCCUGCCGCAGGAACAGCCGUCUGGAUUACUUCCUGAAGCGGCACCUGCGACAGGAGGUAUACGAUGCCAUCCGCACCUACGAGCUCUGCAUCGUGGUCUCAGACACCGAGCACAAGACUUUCAAGUACGUGGUGCUCAGCGACAAGUUCAUCUAUGUGACCGAGAACCCGCCCAGAUCCAUCCGAGGGGUGGUGGCCUUCAAGGACGUUCAGGCUAUUGAUAUGAUUGAUGACUAUCCCGAUUUUUUGAAUGGACCAGAUAAUGAAAUUAACCAACACAUUCGCAUAGUCUAUUCUUUAUCCACUUUGAAAAAUUCCUGUGGAAAUGUCAAGGGUGCUAGGAAAUUGCCAUUUCCAUUUCCUCACUUAAAACUAAAAAAAAAAGGCAAGGAAAAGAAUGAUGACACUUCCUUUCAAUCAUCAGUUGAAAAUAGUAAAGAAUAUAAAAGUCUAAAUGUUUCACUUCUCAGGUACCAUCAGGAGGACUAUUCAGUAGUGCCCAGUGCCUCAACUCUGGAUCAUGGCUGUGAGCAUAAAAAGCUGCGUGACAGUGACCAGCAAGCCUUUCGACCUUUGCCCAUCCCUUCAGAGAGGAACUGUUUAUCUACUGUAUUCACUGGCGUCUCAGGCAAUAGUCUUUCAUCGGUGACUAAUCAAACAGAAAGUAUUCUAUCCUAUGCAGCAAACAAAAAGGAAUACCGGACACUCUCAGAUCAGAAAAACUCUCAGAGUGAAAUCCAAUUCAAAUUUAGUGGGAAUGAAAAUGACUUCUACUCUGGAAAUGUCUCCAGUAGCAUUAUUUUACCUUGCAACCCAAAUCUGGAGAAAAAGGAGGCUGAGCUUCAUCUAUAUAUUAUUUCUACUUCUUCAUCCAUUUUUCUACACCUAAAAAGUUCAUGGAAUAAUUACAUCUUAAAAGCUACCCUCUUGCAAGAUCCACUGUAUGCUAGCAAGUUCAAAUCUACAACUGGAUGUCAGAAGCCAUAUAGGUCUGAAGAGAUGAUUAAACUAUUCAGCCAACUGAAAUCUGAACUUUUUCUUAAAGAUAAUACAUUAAAACGGAUAGCCUGUUUAACUGCCAAACUUAAAGUAGCAGCUCAGAAAAACUUCAUUUUCAGAAAGCUUUUCUGGAAAACCAGUGACCUGUACUAUUUCUUAGUGAGCAAGCUUCAUGAGUACUUGCCCAAACCUCAGGAUCUUAAUGCACUUCAAAAUAAAAGCCAAAGGGCUAGUCAACUGGAGGCUUGCAUUCAGAUUAUCCAGGCUCUGGGACUGAUGUUCAGAGAAACAGAGACAGAGUUUUCCCGUCUGAACACUUUAGUUGCUAAACGUGGAACAUUAAUUACUCUUUUGAUAAUUUUAAUUACUAAACCUGAAAUUCCCAAACCUUGUCCUGUGUUUGAUAUCCAGUUUGUCGCUGAAUCAUCUUUAGUAAAGAUGUCUUCUGAUGCUGAGUUACAGAGGCUUAUGUUGGAAUACACAAAUACAGCAACUGCACUCUUAUAUGAAAUAUUGCUUGUUUCUCUACAGGGAAAUCUAGGAUUGGAACCUAAGAAGUUUGCUAUCAAUUGGAUAAUGUCCAUUCUGCAAAGUUUCCCACCCACAGAACUUACAUUCUGUCAGGGGAGACAAGGUGUGCAUAAAUACUGAAAUCAUUUAUAAGACACAUUCAAAGUAGUCACAAGGAAAUCAUGGAUAAAAAAGCACUAGAAGGGGAGGGAGUCAUGAAAGGCUUUCUGCAGAAGAUAUUGUCUGAGCUGAAGGAAGACAUGGACUCCAAGAUGGAGGAAGGAGAACAUUCUAGAAAUGGGGGACAGGAAAAGUCACAAGAGAAAUAGGAGAAGGACCAUUAUGUUUGAAGAACAUCUUCCUGGCAAGAAGGCCAGGAUGAAUGGACUAUAGAGUUCUUGGAAGGAUCUCAUUUGUGUCCAGCCUUGUGAAGCAAAUAAUGAAGGAGCUUCUGACUGCCCUGCCACUUCUAAGCCCAUGCCGAG